UGAAGCUGUACUCAUCACUGGGAGCUGGAUUUAAACUAUCAAGUUGUAGAUAUGAAAAAUUAAAGAAAACAAAAAUAAGUGAUCUUGAUCUUAUCUGUUUUCUUCCUGCUCUGCAGCCUGUGGGAAGCACACAGGCUGAACUGAACUGAAAUGUUAGGUCUUCAGAAAUAAAGGAAAUAUUACUAAUAAAAAAUGGCAAUAGGAGCAGCAUGCUUCCUCAGCAACAUCUUGCCUCUCCUAUAAAGGUGUGACUGCCUAGAAGGCUGUCUGUUACCUCCGGCAACCACCGUGUCCAAGGCCGCACCGCCAGGGGGCUAGCAAUCAGCAUUUGCUAGGGCCAUAGCAACACUGACACCAAUAUGAUGGAGAAGCAAAUGGCAAUUUAUUAAGGCACGACAACCCCUUAAAUACACAUCCCGUUUCGCCUAAGCCCCUUAAACAUGCAUCACGUGUUACUCACACCUUACUCACAGAGCGAGGGAGGUCCUAUCGUGUCACAACCUGAUACCCCGUUAUCGCUUACUACAACACAGCAGGGGGUCCUAUCGCGUCACAAUCUGAUACCUCGUUAGCACCUACUGCAACAGCUGUCAAAAUAGCCUGUGCUGUCUUACAGUGACCUGGAUACCGUUUAUGAUGAAGCUGGCCCAGCAAGAGAUCUGCACAGGACACAGCUUUUACUGCCAUCAGCUAGAUGUGUAGCACCUCUGUGAAAACUCAUUCAAGGAAUGCAGAUAAACACCAAAAAAGGAACUGCAAGACCAGGGAGUGGUAGAAUAGGCAAGGAAUCCCAAGGAACUGCACGGAUUGAGACUAAGACUGGGAAAGAAGAAGGAGAUGCAUUGGAAAACAUCCAUAGCCCCAAGACUGAAGUGAAGCAGACAACCAUUUCAGCCAAGAAGUGGUUGUGCAUGCUCACCCCAUUCUUCUAUAGAGCAUGUGAAGAGAGCAGCCCAUUUGCUUUCACCUGCUAGGAAAGCACCAGCACCUGUGCAGCAACAGUACCAUUCUGCUUACUUACAAUAUCUCCAUUCCUGUUAUGGUAAUUUAAAUGAAGAUACUGUCUUUGGAGAUUUGUUUAUUUCACAAUGCUUGUAAAUU
rnacentral:lncRNA from 1 species